AGAUUGUCAUAUUAGUAAUAUUUUAUUUAGAUGACAUCUUAUUUAAUUUAAUAGAGAAGUAAUCUACAACCAUGGAUUUGAUGCCACCCUUAAUUCACGAAGUGUGUCUCCUACCUGCACUGCACUACUGAAAGUUUGGAUACACAGUUGUCCCGCCGCUCCGUCAGAGAGAACAACUCACAGCUCAAGCAGACAGCCAGGUAGAAUCGCACAUGCAUGUGCUGCCCCCCUCUUAAGGCUUUGUUUGAUAUUGUCAGAUUCACAUCAAUCCACAUGUGUUGAGGUGGAUUGAAGUGGAACUUGAACUAAAUUCUACCCCAAUCCACACCAACACACAUGGAUUGAAAUGAAUACGACAACAUCGGAACAAGGCCUAACCAAAUUCUGCUAGUCGCGCUACUAUUUCUAGUUAUGGUAUAGUAUACUCUCAGGUUUAAUUUCCACUGUACAGCGUGCAAUAAACGUGCAUGCAUGUAAAUACAAGCAGCAACCAGCCCACCACGGGAAAGUUGAACCACUGGGCUAGCCGGCCGGGCUGGGCCGUUUUCUUCUUCCAUUCCAGUUCCACCACAUCUCAAGCUCCGAGUAAUCUUAGGGAGUGUUUAGUUUUAAAAAAUACAAAAUACAAAAUGUCAACUACUUUAUAAUAAAGGAAAGUAAAAAUGUCAAAAUUUUUAGGGUCAUAUUUAAUUUCAUCCAAAGUGUAGAAUUUAUUGCUCUCAUGAGGGCCUCAUGAGAUUCUUUUAUGUUUUUUUGGCCUCUUGAAGCCAAAAUCCAAAAUAGAAAAUAAUCAUCUUUUGUCAAAAAAUUUACAUGGUAUGUAGGCCUUGUUUAGUUCCCUCUAAAAACAAAAAAAAAUUCAAAAUUCUAUCACAUCAAAUCUUAUUGCAUAUGCAUAGAUCAUUAAAUAUAGAUGAAAAUAAAAACUAAUUGUACAGUUUGCCCGUAAAUCGCG
rnacentral:lncRNA from 1 species